rnacentral:lncRNA from 1 species
GGGGUGAAUUGGGUUUUCUAACCUUUUAAUUCCUUAAUCAAAUUGAUAGAUGAAUGGGUAGUUUAGCUAAUAUUAAUUAAGUGCGUGUAGUGAAAUUAGAAAGGCACACAAUACAAAUACAUAAGAAAUAUAGUGGUUCGGUGCUCUCCUAAGCACCUACGUCCACUUCCUAAGCGUCUUCUUGGAAAUUCACUGUAAUCCGCGAGAAAAUUCACUGUAAUCCCGCGGAUUACAGUUGGAUUGUUUUUCGGGCUCACAAUCCAAAAACCUUUACAAUUUGGUUUUUCGAGAUCACCAAUAAUCUACGUUGGUUUUGCGGACUCACCAACAACCUACAAUGUUGGUUUUACGGGCUUACCAACUAACCUUACAACAAGAUUGAUAAGUAACAAAAGAGAGCUCCUAAGAGAGCAAAUAAAGCAAUUAUAAACUACAAAGAAGAGUUUAGAGAAUGUUUAUCGCUUUGGAGGAGCUAUUCUUUUCUUUGUCAAGCUUGCUUCCCUUUACAAGGAUUGGUGGAGCUAUUGAUGACUCUUUGAAACUGCUCAACAACUUUCUUUUGGCCCUUUUGAAGAAGCAAUUGAAUGAGGCUUUCUUUUCUAGGGUUUGCUCUUGAAUGUGCUUCUUUUAUAUCCAAAGAUUUCUUCCUUUGAUGAAUAGU